rnacentral:rRNA from 1 species
UACGGGGGGAGCAAGCGUUGUUCGGAUUUACUGGGCUUAAAGGGUGCGUAGGCGGUGGAGUAAGUCGGAUGUGAAAUACCAUAGCUUAACUAUGGAACUGCACUCGAUACUACUUUGCUAGAGUAAGACAGAGGUGAGUGGAACUGAGGGUGGAGCGGUGAAAUGCGUUGAUAUCCUCAGGAACACCGGUGGCGAAGGCGACUCACUGGGUCUUUACUGACGCUGAGGCGCGAAAGCGUGGGGAGCAAACAGG